rnacentral:rRNA from 1 species
UACGUAGGGUGCGAGCGUUGUCCGGAAUUAUUGGGCGUAAAGAGCUCGUAGGCGGUCUGUCGCGUCGAUCGUGAAAACUUGGGGCUUAACCCUGAGCUUGCGGUCGAUACGGGCAUGACUGGAGUUCGGCAGGGGAGACUGGAAUUCCUGGUGUAGCGGUGAAAUGCGCAGAUAUCAGGAGGAACACCGGUGGCGAAGGCGGGUCUCUGGGCCGAUACUGACGCUGAGGAGCGAAAGCGUGGGGAGCAAACGGG